rnacentral:rRNA from 1 species
UACGAAGGGGGCUAGCGUUGCUCGGAAUCACUGGGCGUAAAGCGCACGUAGGCGGAUUGUUAAGUCAGGGGUGAAAUCCUGGAGCUCAACUCCAGAACUGCCUUUGAUACUGGCGAUCUUGAGUCCGGGAGAGGUGAGUGGAACUGCGAGUGUAGAGGUGAAAUUCGUAGAUAUCGGGAGGAACACCGGUGGCGAAGGCGGCGAUCUGGGUCGAGUACUGACGCUGAGGUGCGAAAAGCGUGGGGGAGCAAACAGGG